GUGUUUCCUGACAUGCCGAACAUGAGACCCCAGGAUGGAUUUGUCCAGGAAGUCUAGAGAAGACUUUUGUGUUGAGGAGAGACUGGGCUUGGUUGCUUUGCUGAUUGUGUCUUUCCCUUCUGAUCGCUUUGGCUGAAGACGACCCACAAUAACACUGGAAUAAAGAUGUAGUCAAGAGAAGGAAACAGAUAGCAUUGGCUGAAGUGUACUACUUAAGUGAAAGGUCUGAUGUGAAAAAAGUACAAGCAAACUGGACAUGCCAAGACUCGAUGCCUUAGAUGGUGAUCAUAUCAAAACUGUACAGGGAUUUCUUCCUUCUUCCGGACUUUGAGACGCGUGAGGAGCUUUAUUACCCAGACAUCCCAUUCCUCUGGCAAGAGCAGCAGGAGGAAGCCCAGGCCAAUAAUGAUGAUGGCAAUUACUCGGACACUGUUGAAGACAAUUUCACUGGUGUAGUGAUCAACAACUGUGUGGAACAUUGAACGGGUGUUAUUACAUGAGAAAGCAUUAGGUAUCCCCUUCCCUCCCCCUUGCCUCCCUGGCUCUGAGGGCUGGCUGGUGCAGGAGAACAUGACUGUGGAGCCUCUAGGGCUCUGCAGUCUCUUGGCCUUCCCUAAAGUUCAGAAAACUGACAAUGUACCAGUUGAAUGCCCCAGUGUACUUGAUGAACACCUGCAAUGUUAUUUACCAAGGCAAGCAGAAUUACUAAUACAUAUUUGCUCUAAAAUGUAAGCACUUCUAUUUGUUUCAAUUUAGUGUUAAGCCUGCCUUGAACUAAAUUAUUAAGAAUUGAUUUCUACUCAUCCAUGAGAAGCAUGACUUCAAAUCUAGGUGUUUUUUUUUUUUCAGUAUGCUGGCUUCUUUGGACAGUAAGUGGAAAAGAAAUUCUAGAGAUGAUGAACAUUUAUGUAAUGUUAUACAUUACAUAUUUAACACAAAGUAUACAUUUUUAAUCAGUGUCAUCUUUGUGAGUCUUUGAGAGAAGAUGCAAAACGUG